AGUGGAACGAGGAGAAGGGAGGUUGGUUCGUCGACCCUUGCUUUUUUUGUCUUUUUCCUUUUGCUAAGACAGGUUAAAGUAGGUGUUUUCCAUCGUGCUUUCACCUACUCGGCGACUAACUCCAUGGCCAGGUAUGCUCUCUCUUCUCUCUGGUUGUCUGUCCCUCUCUCCGUUGUCGACCAAGGUAUCCCCUCUCCCUAACCAAUCGCAACCUCUCAUGAAACUUUGUCAAGCUUCUACAGUCUAGGAGCUUUCCCAAUCUGUUGCAAUCUCUACCAUCGAUUGCAAAUGCUUAGAGUGGGUCGAACAAGCCACAGAUUUCACGAGAAGAAACAACACAAAAGAAUGCAAAAGACGGAAGCGGGGGGUGUAGGCAGGUGAAUUUUGUGCACUUAAAUCCCGAAUGGCUCCAGGUAGCAUUUCCUCUCGUUGCUGGACGGAAAGAACGGCUUUUGAAGAGAGAGGUCAAGUGAAGGAUAAAGAGCAAGCGCAAGGAGGUUAUUGGAAGAGUGAAGGAAGUCUAAAAUACUUUUUUUGGCCAGAUAUGGCUCUGCCAUUGUCACUCACUGUCUGCCUUAACCAUGUCUGGUUAAUUUGCUCCCUACUUCAAUUCAUCGACAUGAUUGGAAAGGCAUCGCUUCAUAAAUUGCCAACAGGAUAGAGCUUCAGCCCCAUGGCUUGGAGAUUAGAGUUGAGAAACUCUCAAGCGGAGGAGGGUCGAAUCGUUCAUCAAUGGAGGAUGUUAGCAAAAUCACAGGGAUAGCCUCCUUUUCUCUGUUGGAAAGAAUUGUCAGAAGGGAAAGAAGAGUCAUGCAGUUGACUAGGUCUGGUUCAUCUCAGAGAUCUGAAGGUUAAGUGUGAGACUCGGAGGGAGAAGGAAAAAAUAAAGCAGCAGAAAGUUUGGAGAUCCAGCUUACGGAUGGAAGGGAGGCGUCUUAGUUGCCAUCAGCAGGCCAAAGCAACCGGUACUUGACCAUAACGAUCUUGUGGCACAGGUCACUAGUGGGCAAUUGAGAAUUUUGUGCUUUGCCAGGCAAUGCGAUAAGGAAAUAAUGCAUAACUACCCUUUUCGGAUUGAUAAUCAAAAGGGGCUUGUGCAGAAGGUUUUCAUAAAUAAUUAUAUUAGGACAGAUAAAUCUUAUGGAUUCAGGGCCCUGAUUACCAUGGAGGAUCAUUCAUUAUUGCUGCUACAGCAAGGGGAGAUUGUAUGGUCUAGGGAGGAAGGACUUGCCUCAAUCAUGGAUACUACGACAUCCGAACUACCAGUGGAAAAAGAAGGUGUUUCAGUUGCCAAAGUUGAGGAGAAUCUGUUUGAGUGGCUCAAGGUAUUUCCAAGAGUUCCCUAUUUUCCAGUUUAGCUUUGCCUUGGCUUCAAACGUCUGUGGUUUUGUUCUUGGGGAGUUUUAUUUUCCAUUGCUGAAAAAAAAAGUCUCUCCAUUUGUUUUGCUGUUUCUUUCUGUUUGAGUCACUUUAACCCUGAUUAA